GAGUUUGAUCAUGGCUCAGAACGUACGCUGGCGGCACGCCUAACACAUGCAAGUCGAACGAAGUAGCAAUACUUAGUGGCAGACGGGUGAGUAACAUGUGGGUAUCUACCCUUUGGCCUGGAAUAACACGAGGAAACUUGUGCUAAUACCGGAUAAGUCUUUACGGAGAAAGCUUUAUGCACCAUUGGAUGAGCCCGCACUUGAUUAGUUUGUUGGUGGGGUAAUGGCCUACCAAGACUUUGAUCAAUAGCUGAUUUGAGAGGAUGAUCAGCCACAUUGGGACUGAGACACGGCCCAGACUCCUACGGGAGGCAGCAGUGGGGAAUAUUGGACAAUGGGCGAAAGCCUGAUCCAGCCAUGCCGCGUGAGUGAAGAAGGCCUUAGGGUUGUAAAACUCUUUCGACAGGGAAGAUAAUGACGAUACCUGUAUAAGAAGCUCCGGCUAACUCCGUGCCAGCAGCCGCGGUAAUACGGAGGGGGCAAGCGUUGCUCGGAAUUACUGGGCGUAAAGCGAGCGUAGGCGGUUAAUCAAGUUGGUGGUGAAAGCCCGGAGCUCAACUCCGGAACUGCCAUCAAAACUGAUUUACUUGAGAUUGGUAGAGGAAAAUGGAAUUCCUAGUGUAGAGGUGAAAUUCGUAGAUAUUGGGAAGAACAUCGGUGGCGAAGGCGAUUUUCUGGGCCAUAUCUGACGCUGAGGUUCGAAAGCGUGGGUAGCAAACAGGAUUAGAUACCCUGGUAGUCCACGCCGUAAACGAUGAGUGCUAGACGUUGGAGAUUAAUUUUUCAGUGUCGUAGUUAACGCAUUAAGCACUCCGCCUGGGGAGUACGGUCGCAAGAUUAAAACUCAAAGGAAUUGACGGGGGCCCGCACAAGCGGUGGAGCAUGUGGUUUAACUCGACGCAACGCGAAGAACCUUACCAGCUCUUGACAUUGCUAAGUCGCGAGUUUUAGAGAUAAAACUCUUCAGUUCGGCUGGACUUAGUACAGGUGCUGCAUGGCUGUCGUCAGCUCGUGUCGUGAGAUGUUGGGUUAAGUCCCGCAACGAGCGCAACCCUUGUCCUUAGUUGCCAGCAAUUCGGUUGGGCACUCUAGGGAGACUGCCGGUGAUAAACCGGAGGAAGGCGGGGAUGACGUCAAGUCCUCAUGGCCCUUACGGGCUGGGCUACACACGUGCUACAAUGGCGUCUACAAUGGGUCGCAAUAGGGCAACCUAGAGCUAAUCUCAAAAAGACGUCUCAGUUCGGAUUGUACUCUGCAACUCGAGUACAUGAAGUUGGAAUCGCUAGUAAUCGCGGAUCAGAACGCCGCGGUGAAUACGU
rnacentral:rRNA from 1 species